UUUAACUGAAGAGUUUGAUCAUGGCUCAGAUUGAACGCUGGCGGCAGGCUUAACACAUGCAAGUCGAGCGGGGGAAGGUAGCUUGCUACUGGACCUAGCGGCGGACGGGUGAGUAAUGCUUAGGAAUCUGCCUAUUAGUGGGGGACAACAUCUCGAAAGGGAUGCUAAUACCGCAUACGUCCUACGGGAGAAAGCAGGG
rnacentral:rRNA from 1 species